UUCGCAAUGCCCGAAAGGGUGACGAAGCGACGCCGCGUGGGUGAGGAAGGCCUUCGGGUUGUAAAGCCCUGUCAGGAGUUAAGAAAUGUAAGUGCGCUAAUAUCGCAUUUAUUUGACGAAGGCUCCAAAGGAAGUCACGGCUAACUCUGUGCCAGCAGCCGCGGUAAUACAGAGGUGGCAAGCGUUGUUCGGAAUUAUUGGGCGUAAAGAGCACGUAGGUGGGUUUGUAAGUCAGAUGUGAAAGCCUUCUGUUCAACGGAAGAAUUGCAUCUGAAACCGCAAGUCUUGAGUGUAGGAGGGGAGAAUGGAACUUCUGGUGGAGCGGUGAAAUGCGUAGAUAUCAGAAGGAACGCCGGCGGCGAAAGCGAUUCUCUGGCCUAUUACUGACACUCAGUGUGCGAAAGCUAGGGGAGCAAACGGGAUUAGAUACCCCGGUAGUCCUAGCCGUAAACGAUGGGCACUAAGUAGAGGGGUUUU
rnacentral:rRNA from 1 species